GUGUCAGCCGCCGCGGUAAUACGUAGGGUGCGAGCGUUAAUCGGAAUUACUGGGCGUAAAGCGUGCGCAGGCGGCCUGAUAAGUCAGAUGUGAAGUCCCCGAGCUCAACCUGGGAACUGCGUUUGAAACUAUCAAGCUGGAAUAUGUCAGAGGGGGGUAGAAUUCCAAGUGUAGCAGUGAAAUGCGUAGAGAUGUGGAGGAAUACCAAUGGCGAAGGCAGCCCCCUGGGAUAAUAUUGACGCUCAUGCACGAAAGCGUGGGGAGCAAACAGGAUUAGAUACCCCCGUAGUCC
rnacentral:rRNA from 1 species